rnacentral:rRNA from 1 species
UGGAUCCAGACUUUGAUUCUGGCUCAGGAUGAACGCUAGCUACAGGCUUAACACAUGCAAGUCGAGGGGAAACGACAUCGAAAGCUUGCUUUUGAUGGGCGUCGACCGGCGCACGGGUGAGUAACGCGUAUCCAACCUGCCCACCACUUGGGGAUAACCUUGCGAAAGUAAGACUAAUACCCAAUGACGUCUCUAGAAGACAUCUGAAGGAGAUUAAAGAUUUAUCGGUGAUGGAUGGGGAUGCGUCUGAUUAGCUUGUUGGCGGGGUAACGGCCCACCAAGGCGACGAUCAGUAGGGGUUCUGAGAGGAAGGUCCCCCACAUUGGAACUGAGACACGGUCCAAACUCCUACGGGAGGCAGCAGUGAGGAAUAUUGGUCAAUGGACGAGAGUCUGAACCAGCCAAGUAGCGUGCAGGAUGACGGCCCUAUGGGUUGUAAACUGCUUUUAUAAGGGAAUAAAGUGAGAGUCGUGACUCUUUUUGCAUGUACCUUAUGAAUAAGGACCGGCUAAUUCCGUGCCAGCAGCCGCGGUAAUACGGAAGGUCCGGGCGUUAUCCGGAUUUAUUGGGUUUAAAGGGAGCGUAGGCCGGAGAUUAAGCGUGUUGUGAAAUGUAGACGCUCAACGUCUGCACUGCAGCGCGAACUGGUUUCCUUGAGUACGCACAAAGUGGGCGGAAUUCGUGGUGUAGCGGUGAAAUGCUUAGAUAUCACGAAGAACUCCGAUUGCGAAGGCAGCUCACUGGAGAGCAACUGACGCUGAAGCUCGAAAGUGCGGGUAUCGAACAGGAUUAGAUACCCUGGUAGUCCGCACGGUAAACGAUGGAUGCCCGCUGUUGGUCUGAAUAGGUCAGCGGCCAAGCGAAAGCAUUAAGCAUCCCACCUGGGGAGUACGCCGGCAACGGUGCAACUCAAAUGAAUUGACGGA